AUAGUAACUUCUGCAAGAUGAAUAAAAAUAAGAUGUGAGGAAAGUUUAAAAAAAUACUAAGAGAGUUUUGAUAAGAGGGUAAAAAUAAAAUGCCGCAACUACUGAUGUUUCUGAAUAAACUAGCAACCUACUUAAAAUUAGAAAUGAUCAUGGAAUCUAAAUCAAAAGGUUGUGAAUAUUAGGAAUGCAAGUUCAAGCCUUGCAGAAAUAGCCAGAUUCAUUUCUUCAAAGUGUUUCUUAAGAGAUCAGA
rnacentral:misc_RNA from 1 species